rnacentral:rRNA from 1 species
UUAACACAUGCAAGUCGAACGGUGAAGCCCAGCUUGUUGGGUGGAUCAGUGGCGAACGGGUGAGUAACACGUGAGUUACCUGCCCCUGACUCUGGGAUAGGCCUUGGAAACGUGGUCUAAUACCGGAUACGUGACGCUCGGGCAUCCGAAGUGUCUGGAAAGAUUUAUCGGUCAGGGAUGGACUCGCGGCCUAUCAGCUUGUUGGUGGGGUAGUGGCCCACCAAGGCGACGACGGGUAGCCGGCCUGAGAGGGCGACCGGCCACACUGGGACUGAGACACGGCCCAGACUCCUACGGGAGGCAGCAGUGGGGAAUAUUGCACAAUGGGCGCAAGCCUGAUGCAGUGACGCCGCGUGUGCGAUGAAGGCCUUCGGCUUGUUACC